GCAAAAAUUGAAAACUUUUUCCACCACAAAAAAAUCAGAAGAUAUCUUGAUCCAUACUCUACAUGUGUACGAAAACCGAUUUUGAAAAUAUUGCUUCGCUAUUCAAUAAAAAAUCAAAAAUCAAAAAGUGAGGAAAUGCUUCCAGUUUCACCCUCAGGCGAAACUCCAUUUUCCUCAUUAUUAAACAACGAGGCAUCCAUAAAGUACGUCACGCAUAGAGGGGUGAGGGGGGUUUUGAAAAUGUGAAAAGCAAUGUGUUAAGUAUAGGAAAUACCCGUACGAAGAAGGGAGCAGGGGUUAAAAAUUCCCAUUAUUAGCGUGACGUACUAAAUGGAGGUCCCCUUAAGGUAUUUUCUAGUUUUUGUUUCCCUGAUGGAAAAUGUCAGUUUUACAAAAACCAUUUUUAAACGAAAUUGUAAAAAAAAAUACUUUUUGUAUAACUGAUAAGAAGGAGAAGGAGGAAAUGGAUCCAGUUUCGCCUUAAUAACAACUGCUUUACAACUAGCUUUAUGCAAUUUCUUAUAAUGAUGGAAAUUUAUUCAACAAUGUAUAUUUCAUAUUUUCCACAAACACCUUAAACAUCUCUAUCAGAUUGCUUUCAAGCUCUAUUUACUUUUGUCGUCCCACGUCCAUCUACAUGAAACUGUCAAGCUGUGCACGAAAAAUCCAACAACGAACGUCACUAGCAUACCAGCAGAUUUGGUGAACCUUUCCAUAAACUGCAGAGCACUCACCCACGCACGCGCAGGCAGACAACUUCCAUCAACAUCAACUGCGGGAAAAUCAUUUAGCGCACCGGGCGGGAAUGGAACGAUCAUCCUCGGUUUGUGGUGGUGCUACUGAAUUGCGGAAAGUUAAUGGUCCGACGACGAUGGUCGUCGACACUCGACAGCCGUUGAGACAAUUUGCCAAAAAAUCUGUCUUACGGGUACCAAACGUAAGAACAAAUCGCUACUUACAGUAGCAAUCAAAAGUGAAAAAAAACAGCAUUUAAGUAUUUUUGCAAUUUUUUACCAAAAAAUCACUACCCAAGUCAUUUUUAAGUUAUUUUGCCUUUGAAUUAGAAUAACAAGAAUGUAGCACCUGUACAAUCAAAAACCUGCGCUGUCGACACUCUUUUGUGACUUGUGUGCUGCAUGGGAACAAAAUUGAUCCUUGCGAAGUACAUAGGAAAAAAUCAUAAAAUAUUCGUAGAAAGUUUUCUCAAAAGAGUUAAUGAAAUUUCAGAAAUGUAAUGAAAGUCUCAACAAAAACAACAUUUUUUUUUUUGAAAAAAGAUACCAAGGAUUUUGAGCAGAAAUAAUUUUGAGUGUAGUACAACAAAAUCCUCUCAAACACAUUCAAAACUCUUUGAAAACGGACUUAGUGGUCCAGUGGCUACCGCUUCUGAUUCGUAUGCAGAAGGUUCUGGGUUCAAACUUUGGCCCGUUCCUGCCGCCUACUUUGUAACUUUCUAUACACUUUUUUGCUCCUCUCUACAUAUACAUUAGCCUGGGACACGCUUUAUAUGGGAAAAUAUGAAACAUGCAAAAAUUCUAUCUCCUGCAUACUUUUUAAGUGCCAUUUUGGUCCUGUGCAAAAUUUCAGAUCGAUCGUGAAAAGUAUAUUUUAGCGCCCGCCAUUCUUAGUUUUUCAUACGAUUUACUAUGGGGAAAACUAUGAGAUUCUUCUUUAAAGAAAAAUCGCUCCGGGUCACCCCUUGAUCCCUAAAAAUAAGUUGAGGAGUGAGUUCUGUGGAAAACUUCAAGAGGAAUCAGACCUCUAGAGACCGCAAAGCGAUGCGACGUUCGAGGGAAAAGUUAUUAUUUUUUAAGAGACAAGAAAUGGAGAAAACAAUAACACAGUUUUCCAAAGUUUUACUAAAACCGCAUCAAAUUAAACAAGGAAUCAUAAUAUCUACGCUUUUUGUACCAUUUCCUUGCAGAAACGAAGAAUUCACCAUCUCACCCAGAGUUGGUAAAAACUCAAAAUCACAAAUCUCAUGCUUGAGUUGUUUCACGCGCGAUUCUUGACUCGCCAAACUCACCGCCGAAAAAAUCAUACAUGAGUUGACUCGUGAUUUCACUCAUUGCUUUAUUUCUUGGUGUUCUUAUUAUUUACAUCGAAGUUUUUACGAUUAUAUGAUAGAACAAUAGCAAAUCUAGCGUACAAUGGCAUUGAAAUUGAUUUGGAUUCGUUUUACAAGCGAACGAGAUUUCGGUGCUUGGCUCGUGAGAGCGAGAUUUUGCAUGAAAAUCUCGCGCGUCAGAAAGUGAUUCAGAAUCGCGCGCGAGUUUGCUCACGGAGGAGCGGUUCAUGAGUGUGCUUUGAGUGUGAUUUUACCAACACUGAUCUCACCAUAACAAAAAAUCAGCUCAUUACCACAAUUCUAGUACCUAACCGAUCAUGCCCUAUUAUUACAAAAUUAUAACAAGUUCUGUUAUUUAUUUCAGAACAAAUUUGUUUUAAAUUCUUUGGCUAUUGACAUAUAUUAUCAAACAUAUCAUAUUUUGGAAUAAAUUCGUAAAAUAUAGCAAAUAUUUCUAUUAAUGUUUUAUUAAAUUCUGUUAUAUCAAAGAAUAAAGGGCUCCGACGACGGGACGCCAAGCAGUCAGUAGUGUGCGGUAGUUCGGCAGCAGCAAAGUUUCGCGCGCUCGCUUUGCUAGAUUUUUGCUAUUUUUUUUUCUCUUCCCUCUGCGGGGCUCCGACGACGGGACGAGUGUGCGCGCGCCGUGGUUCGAGUCGGUUCCGAAUUUUUCGCUUCCCUUCGGCGCUAGUUUCCAAUACACUUUUAGUUGAUAGUAAAUAUUUUCUUUCAUUUUUUGCAUUUACACAAAAGAGUGAAAAAUGUUACUUCGGGUUCGCCGGUCGAGAAAAAAAUCCGGGCGCCGACAAGUGAGUCGCGUUCAGUGUAUUUCUGUGUGGAAUAGACUAAAGGUUUCUGCUCCCUAGUGGAGUGGAGACGCGCGAUAGAAUUUUCUUUUUGGCUAGUUCUUGCGUCGAAAAGUGGUCGGUUGUUAACGGCGGUUUGUGUAUAUUGAUCCAUUGUCAAAUCAUAUCACCAACCAUAGGUGACUCCCGGACUGACAAUGUACCUUACCCUACUAACAAAUAAAUCCUUCCUGAGACAAACGUGGAGAUGCAGCGAUUCACGGUCUUUAUAACAACGUUUGUCUUACUAACAUUCCCUUCCAUCCUCGAUGACCGUAAGGACGUGGCCGGCGCCGUUAUUGACCUUAUUAAAGUUGAGAGCUCUCGACCUGUGUACAUUGAGAAUAGUAAGCUAGUCCCAAGCCCUGUUCAUUGGUUCCUUGUGCAAUUUCGAUUGCUCUGGUCAAUCACGGAGUAGCAACUACGAAUUGUGCGGUCAUCUAUGCUCAUGCUCAUGCUCAUGCUCAAAUUAUGUUAUAUCAAAGAAUAAAAAAGAAGAACGCUAUCUCUUGUGUUUUUCUAUGUAAACGUCAAGCGACAAGACAAGUAGCGCUCUCUAAGCGUAUUAAGGUGGAAGCUUUCUGUAACAGUGUUCGUGAUUUGUCGUAAGAGAAGGUGGUGUGCGUAUGUUUAGAUAUUCGCAUACAAUCAAUAUCACACACUACCGCAUGAAGGUUGAACUUUCAUCCGCAGAUAGCGUUGCGGUAGUGCCCCCCACAGCAUAGGCGGAGUGGACAUUCAUGAUAUUCUUAUUCUUUGGUUAUAUGCAAUUGACAUAAUAUAACAAAUGUUGUUUUACAUAUAUAAUUUGUAAUUAGUUGUUUUAAUGCAACAAUAACAUGUAUUGUAACAAUAUUCAAUACAUGAAACAAGUUAAGUUAUUAUUUUGUAAUUAAAACACUGACGAAUGUUAUUAGAAGUUUGUGAUAAAGGGGAUAGACAAUAAGAUCGCAAAAUUUUCACCUCUCAUUUUUUUUUCAACUAGCUGUAGAUUUCGAAAAGUACAUAAAAUAUUUUCAAAUUUUCACUGUAAGUCGAUCAACUAGGUGUAUAUUAGUGGUCAAAAUUUGUAAUAGAUCGAGCUGUUCUGCAGGAAGUUAUAAAGAUUCUAGGAAAAGGUAUGAUUAUCGGAAUGCCAACUUUGAGCUGUUAUAUCUCCGGAUUCAAUCAACCGAAUUCAUAAUAUAUAAUGAGUUCUGAAAAACGUUUGACUUAACUUGAAAUUAUAACCAAGAAAAAAUUUAUAGUGAUUUCAUUUUUUUAAGAUUUUUUUAGAAAACUGGUAUUGAAAAUAUAUGCAUACCAUUACUAUUUCAAUUUAUUGCCGGCUAUGUUGUUACUUUGCUUCAAAACAUAUUUAUACUCAAGACAAUCAGAAAGAGUUUAAAUGAGCUAUAAUUAGCAUCUUGAAUUUUGAAACGAUGUUGAAGUUUUAGAGUUUUUGGUGUUGUUGCGGUAACUUGUGCCGAAUCCCAUGGGCGGUAAAAGAAGAUACUGACAUGCGGACUUAUUUGGUAUACAUAUAGAUGUAUAUUGUGAUUUUUCAAUGACUCGAUAUAGCCAGUAGAGAGAUUAGUGUUAUUGUCAUCACCUAUCGGUUGGUUGAGAGGAAGCAUUUAGCAUUGUGUGGAUUGCGGGUUCAUAUACAAGUGGUUAGCGCCUGAAAUGUAAGAAAUUAGGUAUAGUUUGAUAAAUUUGAUACAACUUAUAGCAUAUUUUCAGUUGGAGUCACAUAAGGAGCAGAGGGAAAUAAAAUUGUUGGUAAUAAUCAGGGAGUAGGAUCAAACCAGUCUUUUAGCGUUCUGGAUUCUACGUCUUGUGUGAUUCCUUGCUCAAAAGAGUUCCGACAAUUCCCACCCCAACAGGUGUUUUGUUAUAAAAAUAGUCUAAUCGUUACAGCUCUUCCCUCUGCGGGGCUCCGACGACGGGACGCCAAGCAGUCAGUAGUGUGCGGUAGUUCGGCGGCAGCAGCAAAGCUUCGCGCGCAGGUUUUGCUAGAUUUUUGCGAUUUAUUUUUCUCUCGGCGGGGCUUCGACGACGACGACGGGACGCCAAGCAGUCAGUAGUGUGCGGUAGUUCGGCAGCAGCAAAGUUUCGCGCGCAGGUUUUGCUAGAUCUUUGCGAUUUUUUUUUCUCUUCUCUCGGCGGGGCUCCGACGGCGGGACGAAGCGCACGGUUGACGCGUGGUGGCUCGAGUCGGUUCCGAAUUUUUCGCUUCCCGUCGGCGCUAGUUCCCAAUACACUUUUAGUUGAUAAUAAUUUUUUUUGUACAUUAACACAAAAGAGUGAAAAAUGUUAGUUCGGACUCGCCGGUCGUGGAAAAAAUCCGGGCGCCAACAAGUGAGUCGCGUUCAGUGUAUUUCUGUGUGGAAUAGACUAAAGGUUUCUGCUCCCUAGUGGAGUGGAGACGCGCGAUAGAAUUUUCUUUUUGGCUAGUUUUUGCGUCGAAAAGUGAUCGGUUGUUAACGGUGGUUUGUGUAUAUUGAUCCAUUGUCAAAUCAUAUCACCAACCAUAGGUGACUCCCGGACUGACAAUGUACCUUACCCUACUAACAAAAAAAUCCUUCCUGAGACAAACGUGGAGAUGCAGCGAUUCGCGGUCUUUUUAACAACGUUUGUCUUACUAACAUUCCCUUCCAUCCUCGAUGACCGUAAGGACGUGGCCGGCGCCGUUAUUGACCUUAUUAAAGUUGAGAGCUCUCGACCUGUGUACAUUGAGAAUAGUAAGCUAGUCCCAAGCCCUAUUCAUUGGUUCCUUGUGCAAUUUCGAUUGCUCUGGUCAAUCACGGAGUAGCAACUACGAAUUGUGCGGUCAUCUAUGCUCAUGCUCAUGCUCAAAA